UGGGGAAUUUUGGACAAUGGGCGAAAGCCUGAUCCAGCAAUGCCGCGUGUGUGAAGAAGGCCUUCGGGUUGUAAAGCACUUUUGUCCGGAAAGAAAUCCUUGGCUCUAAUACAGUCGGGGGAUGACGGUACCGGAAGAAUAAGCACCGGCUAACUACGUGCCAGCAGCCGCGGUAAUACGUAGGGUGCAAGCGUUAAUCGGAAUUACUGGGCGUAAAGCGUGCGCAGGCGGUUUGCUAAGACCGAUGUGAAAUCCCGGGCUCAACCUGGGAACUGCAUUGGUGACUGGCAGGCUAGAGUAUGGCAGAGGGGGGUAGAAUUCCACGUGUAGCAGUGAAAUGCGUAGAGAUGUGGAGGAAUACCGAUGGCGAAGGCAGCCCCUGGGCCAAGUACUGACGCUCAUGCACGAAAGCGUGGGGAGCAAACAGGAUUAGAUACCCUGGUAGUCCACGCCCUAAACGAUGUCAACUAGUUGUU
rnacentral:rRNA from 1 species